UAGCUCAGUUGGUAGAGCAUGGUGUUUACAACACCAGGAUAGCGGGAUCGAUUCCCAC
rnacentral:tRNA from 1 species